UACGGGGGGAGCAAGCGUUGUUCGGAUUUACUGGGCGUAAAGGGCGCGUAGGCGGCCAGCACAAGUCAGUUGUGAAAUCUCCGGGCUUAACUCGGAAAGGUCAACUGAUACUGUGCGGCUAGAGUGCGGAAGGGGCAACUGGAAUUCUCGGUGUAGCGGUGAAAUGCGUAGAUAUCGAGAGGAACACCUGCGGCGAAGGCGGGUUGCUGGGCCGACACUGACGCUGAGGCGCGAAAGCCAGGGGAGCGAACGG
rnacentral:rRNA from 1 species